UGGGAAUUUGGACAAUGGGCGAAAGCCUGAUCCAGCAAUGCCGCGUGUGUGAAGAAGGCCUUCGGGUUGUAAAGCACUUUUGUCCGGAAAGAAAUCCUUGGCUCUAAUACAGUCGGGGGAUGACGGUACCGGAAGAAUAAGCACCGGCUAACUACGUGCCAGCAGCCGCGGUAAUACGUAGGGUGCAAGCGUUAAUCGGAAUUACUGGGCGUAAAGCGUGCGCAGGCGGUUUGCUAAGACCGAUGUGAAAUCCCCGGGCUCAACCUGGGAACUGCAUUGGUGACUGGCAGGCUAGAGUAUGGCAGAGGGGGGUAGAAUUCCACGUGUAGCAGUGAAAUGCGUAGAGAUGUGGAGGAAUACCGAUGGCGAAGGCAGCCCCCUGGGCCAAUACUGACGCUCAUGCACGAAAGCGUGGGGAGCAAACAGGAUUAGAUACCCUGGUAGUCCACGCCCUAAAACGAUGUCAACUAGUUGUUGGGGAUUCAUUUCCUUAGUAACGUAGCUAACGCGUGAAGUUGACCGCCUGGGGAGUACGGUCGCAAGAUUAAAACUCAAAUGAAUUGAC
rnacentral:rRNA from 1 species